AAAUCCCAGAGAUGAUCUGAGAGACACUCAACAUUGACUUAAAGAAGCUCAGCUUUAACAGCACCUGUGACCUCAGGUUCUGAAAACAACUUUACAGACUCUUUUAUCUCCUGAGCGGAGGUGCUGACGGAAUCACAGGUUGUAAGAGGGCAAAAUUGUAAGACAUCAUGGAUUUGCUGAAAUUCGUGGGAGGUGUGGCACUGGGUGUGUCUGAGUGUGCGGUGGGCGUGGCCAGAGCUGUGGCGGACGUUCCUCUGGGGAUAGUGAAAGGAGCGGUGUACAGCACCGUAGAGGCUGGUGGUAAAAUGAGCAGCGUGGGCUCCACCGCUGAAUUUAUUGGUGCCACUGCAGUUCUGCUGGUGUCUCCGGUGACCGGUGCUGUGACCGGAGGAACAAAAGAGAUCUUCAAGGCACCGGAAAAAGUUGUGCAUGGUGUUGUUAAUGGUGUAAAAAGAGUGUUUGAUGAUUGAGGAUGAAACAUAGACCUCACCUAAAAGUUUAAGUUUUUGUUUGGUAAACCUUUAACACUCAUGUUAAUAAUACACAAACAGCUUCACCUAUUGGCAAUGAGCCUGCACAUGUAACAGCCUCUAUAAAAACAUCUGAGAAAUGGACACACAUUUAUAUGAAAAAAAGUUAAACACCAGUUAACACCAAUUAAAGAUGGUUUGAUGAUGUGUCAAAAAAUUACUUAAUAUAUAGAAACAUUUUGAAUCUUAAGCAGGCCUAAAUUAUCUCUGGUCUUUCUGAUUUCAGUGUUUGAAUACUUGUAAAAUAAAACAUAUUAAAUAAUUCUUAGUUUUUCUUCAGAAAACAGAAACUGCACAGUUAUCUGUCAA